rnacentral:rRNA from 1 species
UACGAAGGGGGCUAGCGUUGCUCGGAGUCACUGGGCGUAAAGGGUGCGUAGGCGGGUCUUUAAGUCAGGGGGGAAAUCCUGGAGCUCAACUCCAGAACUGCCCUUGAUACUGAGGAUCUUGAGUUCGGGAGAGGUGAGUGGAACUGCGAGUGUAGAGGUGAAAUUCGUAGAUAUUCGCAAGAACACCAGUGGCGAAGGCGGCUCACUGGCCCGAUACUGACGCUGAGGCACGAAAGCGUGGGGAGCAAACAGG